GUUUAAAUCACAUCUCCUCUCCUCUCGUCUCGUCUCCACUCUGGUGGAGUCUGGCCUAUAAACCUCGUCUC